rfam:Parcubacteria (Nomurabacteria) bacterium GW2011_GWB1_43_7 TW02_C0001, whole genome shotgun sequence.
UGGGAGAUCGUCUAAUGGUAGGACUCCUCCCUUUGAAGGAGGCUAUUUUGGUUCGAAUCCAAAUCUCCCAG